GUUUCUCCCACACUGAGGCCAACAGAACUAUUUGAAUCCAGGCUGAAAAGAGUUCCAGCAAUGUAAGUGCCAGCUACAAAGCAGCUGUGCCAAGAGAAGAGCAGUUGUGAUGAAUAAAUGUGAUGAAGAGCAGUUGUGAUGGGAAAGUCGAAAAUAAUCCAACUGCGGAGGGCAUGGGUGAGGGAAACAAAAAGAGACAAACAUUCGCGUGUCCAAACCAUAGACAAAUGGAAAAGAAGAGGGUCUGCAAUUCAAGGUGAGACUGGUGACACACAGAUGGAACUCAUUACCUGCACUGCCACAUGCUGCUCAAGAGAAAGUUUAAUGAGGGUCAUGGCAUGUGGACCUUUGUUUUCUGACUGCAGCUACAGAAUGAAAGCAAACAAUAUCCACCACACAUCAGAAAUCAAAGAAUUUGAGUGAGGAAUUUAAUGGGCUACAAAGUUGUGGAGACAUCUUUUAGAAUUUCACCUCAAAGAGUGAAGCUUUCAUUCAGUUAUCCCUGACUUGGAGAUCGGUACUAUGCUUGAAGACUCGAGAAAUUUUGAGAUGCCCUGAUCAUGGAACUUCUUGUCUACAAUAAAAAUAAAUACAUAAAUAAUGAAGAGAGGGGUUACUUUGGCAUCAGUGACUUGAUGUACCCUGUAACACAUGGCUGCUUGAUCUGAAACAAACAAACAAACAAACAAAAAAAAGAGCGAACCUUUGAAAAUAAGCCCUCUAUAAUUCCAGUGAAAUAUGCCAGGUUUGUAUACAUCCCAGUACGACAGACAUUUGAUUCAAGUCUCUCUGUUCUGCAAUAGACGUUGCAACCGGCACUGAGGAAGACACUUAUUCUCUCUCUACUUCAUUUAAUUACUAUUAAAAAGAAUAAAAUACUCUUCUGCGAAGAGAGGUUAUAAGGAUAAACAAAUUGAAACUAUGAAGUACUCAUACAGUACUCUGGUGGGGAUGUAUGAGCAUUACAGACAACGUGGAACAGUGAACUGAAAGAAAUGGUUGGCUUGAAAUAUGGUAAACAAAGUGUAUAAAUAAAAAUAGAAAAAAAAUCUCCAAAUUGCCUCUACUCCCAUAAUUCCUUGACAAUUUUUAGGCUUUCAGACAGACUUUUGUAUUCCCUGCUGCUGUGUGAAACACCUAGAAAACCAGCCAGUGACCCUGGAAAAGGGUAUUUCUAUCUUUUUCCUAGUUCAACCAGACUUCAACCAGAGCUCUAGAAGGCAAAUGUUAAAAUUCUCUGCUUUCAGAAUGCUGUCAGCUUAGAUAAAAAGAAACAUUAUAGAAAACAUUUUUCUUUGUUCACUUCAAUUACCAAUGCUCCUAGCUCUUGACUGUCACAAUAAUAGAUAGAAAAAAGUGUCCAGAAAAGUGUGAUUAUAUGGAUUACAACAGGAUAAUAUACUUUUAAAUAUCAGUACAUCAUAUGCUCUUACUCAUUGAAUAAGGCUUACCAGCCAGCUGCCAAGUUGUUUAAAGUCACGCUAACAUCCCAUUAACAAGUAGAACUGCUGCCUUCUGGUAUAGAGUAGUUUAUCUAACUCCCACCUGAAUUCAUUCUGCAUCAGAUCAUUUCAACCUGCCUGUAAUUUCCUAGAUGACAAAGUAAUAUCCAUUGUAUUGAUUUGAUUUAAUGCAUCAGUUUCAAUACUAGGACAGUUCAAGUCAACCCAUAUUGUUAUAUUCGAGGAUCCAGAGCUCUAUACUUCUUACAUAUACCCAUACAAAUUUUUUUUAUUGAAUAAUCUUGAAAUGGGAUUCUCACCUCUGUCUAAGCAGCUUUCAGGGGUGGCCAGGAGGGAGACACAUGAUAAUAUGAAGUGACAAAAUGAGAGAUAAUGAAUUAUAAGAGAGACGGGAACUUCUCAGAGGGUGCUGGUUGCAAUUAUAUUAUCUGUGGCACUUCUGCUCUAAGAUACUGCUGAAGACAGGAAAGGUGAACAAGAAAAGCUUAGAGUUUGCCACAGCUGUGGAUAAAAAAAUGAUGAUUUUGUGAUUAAAAAAUAUUUGAAAGGAAUCACGUGACCAGCCAAAUCUUCAUGGUCUACUGAGGAUGACCACUGAGAAUGAACCUGAUACUCUGCGUGGUGCAGGCUACAUGAAAAGCUAGUUGUGACUUUCAUCCAUAUUAACAUUUUAGGACUCUGUGUGUAUGGCAGGUAUACUUUGUCAUCACAUCUUUCAAAGAAAGCAAGUGUGAGCAUACGCUCAACUUUCUUUUUGAAGAAAUGAAGAGUCCACCUCUUUUUCUCCUCAUUUUGCAAAGGCUUUUAUACAAACUGUGAUAAAAUGUUCAACAGGAAGAAAGACAGAAUAAAGAACAAACCUUUUAUAGAACUAGCAAUAGUUACUCUCAUACGGAUAGCUAGGGGAAAAUGACAUACUGUGUGGUGGUACAGACAUAUAAAAGAACAAACAUAUCAAAACUCUAAAGCACUGAAGCACUGAGAUGCAAGUGUCCUCUUUUAGCCCAAAGUGAGCACAGAAUGGAAGUGUGCUGCACUGAGCAGAGGGAUGAUUUAUUCACAGGAUAAAGUGAAAAAGGGGGGUUACAAGGUGAAACACAAAGAGAGGAAGUAACUCAGUAGGAGGACAAUUUCUGGAGCAUGGAGUAAUGCAAGUAAACGAUGUGCUCCAUCUCUAGUGAUUCUCUAGUGAUUCUAGAAAAAGCAAGACUGAAAAUGUGUCCUGAGAAUGAGUUCUGUACAAGGGCUAAUUGCUGAUUUCAUUUAUUAUUACUGUAAAUUCACUCUAUCACUCACUUAUUUCACUGUUAUUACAGAGUUGCAAAUUAUUGGCUUUCUGACAAAAGCAUGUAAAUGCACCUGAAUGUAACAACUAAAUGUCAGUUCUUUUGGCUGCACACAGGUAUCACUGCCUCUUUUUACUUUGCAAGUGGGUAGACAAAGAGCUGGUUUGGUGCCAGUAUUCAGAAACUCACAUUUUGAAACUGAACUCCUGUAAACAUUAAAAUCAGUAAAGCCAUUCCAAAAUACUCAAGGGGAAAGAAACAAUAAUAUUAAGGUAGUCUUUCCAUUUUACAGAAGGUACAUUGAAAGUAAAUUUAAUAGCUGAAAUGAAUGCAAUAUAUAUUAUUUUUCCAUAUUUGUUUAAAUGAGAAACCUAAUACCAGUAAAAUCAAGUUCCUAGUGAUUAGGUUCAAAUAGUCGUUUUGCCUUUCUGUUUGCAAAUGCAUGUUAGAAAACACCAUAUUAAUUAUGAAUUUGUCAAACUAGUUGAGUGGCUUUUUUCCAUAGAUCUACUUGCAUGUAAUUGAGACAUAGCAGGAAUACCCAGAAAAUCAGAAUGUGUUUGCUGGUCCUUUACAGGCACUGAGGGACGUGGCUAGUGGGCAUGGUGGUGAUAGACUGAUGGCUGGACUAGAGGGUCUUAGUGAUCUUUUAUAACCUUAAUGAUUCUAUGAUUGUAGUAACUCCUAAGUUUAAACUGAUCCUGUGAGAUUUUUGCCCAGAAUAGCUAAAAUUUUAGAGGACUGUGUUAUCUCUAAACUAUGUCAACACACUCAAAUGCAAGCAUGAGGGCAGAUUCUGUAGGUAUACCCAUGCUUGCUUUCAGGUGUUGUAAGAGACUAUUCUUUUAUAUCAUUGACUCAAAGUUUGCUGAGGAACAAGUCCAGGCAAGUCCUGGGCAAAGGCAGAGAAAUCUUUUGUCUCGAGGACACUGAUGGACAGGUCCUGGCUAAGGAUUGUGAUAUCCUCUAAGGAGCACAGAUGGACAAGGCCAGGGGCAUCGAGAGAGAGAUAAGCUGCUGCUAAUGGCCGGGAAACGGUCUUUUUGUGUGGACUUAUCUCAAGGAAAAUGGCCAUCUCAGGAGGUAUGCACAGGACUCUUGCUCAAGCACCCAGGAAUGUCACGUAGGCAGCAGAAAAUGGAGGAUAAAAGAGGGUCCAAUAACCACAACGGUGGAAGCUGAUCCUUCACCACAACCACGGCAACGGCAGAGGCUUAUCACUCACUACGACAGACUUGAGGGGCUCUCUGCCAUCUGAUCCUUCACCGCAACGUGGAGACUGAUCUCUCACCGCAACACAGAGGCUGAUCUCUCAUGAUCUCUCACCACGACACGAGCCUCCUGCCUUCCGAUCCUUCACUACAGACCGUUUGCUGACGGACUUCCCUGGGCCCGCUACCUGAGACCUGCUGCUUCCUCCCUGACCUGCGCCCUCUCGUUGCCCAAGACCGGCCUCGCUGCUCCUGCCCUUCGGCCUCGGACCGUCGGAACGUCGUGCAACGGGACUGCUGCCGGAUCCUGGUGCCACUUCUGGAAUGUACUUCCUAUUGUUGUUCCAGUAGAAAUGACCUUCCCAUGACAUCUGUCUUCCAGACUCCAAGCAAGUAUCAUCAGACAUUCACCUACUUCACAAGACCAGACGCCAUGCCUAGAAAAUACAUAUUCAUUCUUUUGUAGAAAUGUAUUUUCCAGUCUAGCAAUCUGAGACCUUUUAAAAUAUUUUUACUGCCUACUGGCAAUCUGUUAGUGGAAGAAAAUUGUGAUUUUCAACAGUUACAUGAUCCAGAUAUAUUUAUAAUGAAAAUAAAAUCAUCCACAUCUUUAAAAAUAUAGGGUUUGCUUGUAGUAAAGAAAAUCCAACCAUACUGAGCCUAUAGUCUACUGGGUUUUAAUUAUUUUUUUUUUUUCUAUCUUCUCAAUAGCAACACAGUUAGUUUUUAUGCAAGAAGAAUUAUUUUUUUUAUAUCCCAGCCGUCACAGUCUCUUAUGUCCUUUUCAGUCAACAUCUGAGAUUCAAAUAUUCAGAUAAAAAUACCAGAGUACCUAUACUUGCCCUGUUAACCUGUGAUGAACUUUUUAGGACUUGUUCCC
ensembl:lncRNA